UACAGAGGUGGCAAGCGUUGUUCGGAAUUACUGGGCGUAAAGGGCGCGUAGGCGGCCUUCUAAGUCAGACGUGAAAUCCCCAGGCUUAACUUGGGAACUGCGUCUGAUACUGGAAGGCUUGAGUGCGGGAGAGGGAUGUGGAAUUCCAGGUGUAGCGGUGAAAUGCGUAGAUAUCUGGAGGAACACCGGUGGCGAAGGCGGCAUCCUGGACCGGUAUUGACGCUGAUGCGCGAAAGCCAGGGGAGCAAACGGG
rnacentral:rRNA from 1 species